CAUACACCUAAAAAGCCCAAUCAUUGCCUGAGUAACUAAAAUGGGCCUACCCAGCCCAUCAGCGGAGGAAAGGCCAGAGACCCAACAGAUAACCUAACCCUGCACGAUUGUAGCAACAUAGUAUCUUGAAAAUUUUCCCAAGGAAUUCGUCGCAUCCCCCAAUAUGCGCUAUAAAGAAUGAGCCAGGCCAGAAUGAAACCAUUGACCGGUGAGACAUGCAGCAGCGCAACGCCGCUUGAGGCAUUUUGGGUGUUAUCUUACCUUGUUAUUAACCCAAAAAGAUUAAAACGGCUAACUGACUCCCUGAAAAUUCCCAGUUGUUCUCAAUCUUCUCGGCUUGGCUGGUUGACAUUAUCCAGCUUGGGAGCCAGAAAACUGGCAUAAAUUGAGCAUAGGUAGACAAAACAUGAUGCAACCUUUCCUCUGGUAGGACUUCCAUUGUUGGGUCCACAACGUGGGUCCCAAAGCAGUGAAGUUUACUAUUCUCGCCAAUCAUCUAAUAUUGAAGAUCAAAAAUCAAAAGUCCAACUAGUGAAAAGAUUGAAACUUGAAAGCCAUCACCAAGUAGAAAUAACAGAUCCAUGAUUCCCCACGAGUGAGUAACCCUCUACUUUUAGUACCCAUACACUUUCCAGGCGCGCUUUAAUUAUCUGCAACUGCAACUUUUACACCCAUUUUUCCUUCUUUUUUGAUCACCUUCGCUUACUGCUAGAGAAAAGAAUACGGUGUUCGGUGUUCACAGCUUUUCCACCACCACAAACACAUGAAAUGGUUCUUGGAAGCAAUACACUAAUUAGCUAAAUAACUGAGCCUCUUCUCUUUUCUCUUAAAAUGAAACAAAUUAUCUAUAUAUUAUAACAUAGUAG
rnacentral:misc_RNA from 1 species